GCUCUGUUGCCCAGGCUGGAGUGCAGUGGCGCGCGCUCUCGGCUCACUGCAAGCUCCGCCUCCCGGGGUCGCGCCAUUCUCCUGCCUCAGCCUCCGGAGUAGCUGGGACUACAGCGCCCGCCAUCACGCCCAGCUAAAUUGUUUUUGUAUUUUUAGUAGAGACGGGGUUUCACUGCGUUAGCCAUAAUGGUCUUGACCUCCUGACCUCGUGAUCCAUCCGACUCGGCCUCCCAAAGGUACACAGCUUUCUGAUUACUAUGACAUUCACCACUCCUUACAGGAAAAGGACCACUCUGGCCCAUUAUGACCCCCACCCUGUGCCCAUAUAAACCUGAGACCUUAGCGGACACACACACAAGCAGCUGAACGUCAAGAGGAGUGGUGGAGAGCAGCAGAGAGCAGCCAGGCGAUAUGGCAGAGAAGGAAGGAAGACGUGCCUGAAUGUCAAGAGGAGCUCGUCUAACAACAGCUGAACUGCCGGGAAAGAUUAUCUCCCCAACCCCUCCACCUUCCAGCUCCCCAUCCAUCUCACUGAGAGCCACCUCCAUCACUCGAUAAAACCUUGUACUCAUCCUUCAAGCCUACGUGUGAUGCAAUUAUUUCAAGAUAUGGGGCAAGAACUUAGGAUACAGAAGGCUGUCACACUGCUCCUCUGCCCUUGUGAUAAGGCAGAGGGUCCAUUGAACUGAUUAACACACAAGCCGCCUGCAGAUGGCAAAUCAGAAAGAGCUUUGUAACCCAUGCCCAUUUGGGCUUCUGGAGUUGCAGACACCCAGCCCUUGGCACUGCUAUGGGGCCGGAGCCCAAAAGUUGUCACUCAGACUUCUGCACCUGUACCUCUGCAUGCUCCCCCUUGGGGUUUGAGCAAGUCACACCCCUGUCACAUGUCCUGUGAGGGGAUUCAGGGAACUCUCCCAUUUCAAUAUUUGUAGGUUAAAUAUCAUAUUUUACUCUGCAACUAGAAGUCUUUGUUUAAUUUAUGAAGCUUAUUUAUAUCUGUCUUUGCCUCUUUUUAACCUCAUAAACGAACCAUCA
rnacentral:lncRNA from 10 species